rnacentral:rRNA from 1 species
AGUGAACGCUGGCGGUAGGCCUAACACAUGCAAGUCGAACGGCAGCACAGUAAGAGCUUGCUCUUACGGGUGGCGAGUGGCGGACGGGUGAGGAAUACAUCGGAAUCUACUUUUUCGUGGGGGAUAACGUAGGGAAACUUACGCUAAUACCGCAUACGACCUACGGGUUAAAGCAGGGGAUCUUCGGACCUUGCGCGAUUGAAUGAGCCGAUGUCGGAUUAGCUAGUUGGCGGGGUAAAGGCCCACCAAGGCGACGAUCCGUAGCUGGUCUGAGAGGAUGAUCAGCCACACUGGAACUGAGACACGGUCCAGACUCCUACGGGAGGCAGCAGUGGGGAAUAUUGGACAAUGGGCGCAAGCCUGAUCCAGCCAUACCGCGUGGGUGAAGAAGGCCUUCGGGUUGUAAAGCCCUUUUGUUGGGAAAGAAAAGCAGCAGGUUAAUACCCCGCUGUCCUGACGGUACCCAAAGAAUAAGCACCGGCUAACUUCGUG